rnacentral:rRNA from 1 species
CAGCACCUCAAGUGGUCAGGAUGAUUAUUGGGCCUAAAGCAUCCGUAGCCGGCGCUGUAAGUUUUCGGUAAAAUCUGUACGCUCAACGUACAGGCUGCCGGGAAUACUGCAGCGCUAGGGAGUGGGAGAGGUAGACGGUACUCGGUGGGAAGGGGUAAAAUCCUUUGAUCUAUUGAUGACCACCUGUGGCGAAGGCGGUCUACCAGAACACGUCCGACGGUGAGGGAUGAAAGCUGGGGGAGCAAACCGGAUUAGAGACCCGCGUAGUCC